rnacentral:snoRNA from 1 species
CAGCCCUGUACCUCGCUCGAUGGAAUUUAUACCCUGUAAUUCCAUCUUGAGCUGGAUGAACUAGCAUAUAUCCUUGUCUGUCAUUCUUUGCCAAAUGAGUCUAUUUUGCAUGUCCAAUGGGCCAUACCAAUUACUAGAGUUCUUUUUGAGUACUAAAAUACCGAUGCUUCCAUGGUGUAUUUUGUAAUUAGAUACUCUUACAUUC